rnacentral:rRNA from 1 species
AGUGAGGAAUAUUGCACAAUGGACGCAAGUCUGAUGCAGCAACGCCGCGUGGAGGAUGACGCAUUUCGGUGUGUAAACUCCUUUUAUAUGUCAAGAAAAUGACGGUAGCAUAUGAAUAAGCACCGGCUAACUCCGUGCCAGCAGCCGCGGUAAUACGGAGGGUGCAAGCGUUACUCGGAAUCACUGGGCGUAAAGGACGCGUAGGCGGGAAGUCAAGUCUGAUGUGAAAUCCUAUGGCUCAACCAUAGAACUGCAUUGGAAACUGGCUACCUAGAGUAUGGGAGGGGGAGAUGGAAUUAGUGGUGUAGGGGUAAAAUCCGUAGAUAUCACUAGGAAUACCGAAAGCGAAGGCGAUCUCCUGGAACAUAACUGACGCUGAGGCGUGAAAGCGUGGGGAGCAAACGGGAUUAGAUACCCCGGUAGUCCACGCCCUAAACGAUGUUCACUAGUCGUCGGAAAGCUUGUCUUUUCGGUGAUGCACUUAACAGAUUAAGUGAACCGCCUGGGGAGUACGGUCGCAAGAUUAAAACUCAAAGGAAUAGACGGGGACCCGCACAAGUGGUGGAGCAUGUGGUUUAAUUCGAAGAUACGCGAAGAACCUUACCUAGCCUUGACAUUGAUUGAAUACACCAGAGAUGGAGUAGUGCCUUUCGGGGAACAUGAAAACAGGUGCUGCACGGCUGUCGUCAGCUCGUGUCGUGAGAUGUUGGGUUAAGUCCCGCAACGAGCGCAACCCUCGUCCUUAGUUGCCAGCAGGUUAAGCUGGGCACUCUAAGGAGACUGCCUUCGUAAGGAGGAGGAAGGUGAGGACGACGUCAAGUCAUCAUGGCCCUUAUGGCUAGGGCUACACACGUGCUACAAUGGGGCGUACAGAGUGUUGCGAUACCGCGAGGUGGAGCUAAUCACUUAAAGCGUCUCUCAGUUCGGAUUGGAGUCUGCAACUCGACUCCAUGAAGCUGGAAUCACUAGUAAUCGUAGAUCAGCAAUGCUACGGUGAAUACGU